UACGUAGGGUGCGAGCGUUAAUCGGAAUUACUGGGCGUAAAGCGUGCGCAGGCGGUUAUGUAAGACAGAUGUGAAAUCCCCGGGCUCAACCUGGGAACUGCAUUUGUGACUGCAUAGCUAGAGUACGGUAGAGGGGAUGGAAUUCCGCGUGUAGCAGUGAAAUGCGUAGAUAUGCGGAGGAACACCGAUGGCGAAGGCAAUCCCCUGGACCUGUACUGACGCUCAUGCACGAAAGGCGUGGGGAGCAAACAGG
rnacentral:rRNA from 1 species